CAUGCUGUAAACGAUGAUAACUAGAUGUGUGAGGUAUUGACCCCUUGCGUAUCGAAGCAAACGCGAUAAGUUAUCCGCCUGGGAAGUACGGCCGCAAGGUUAAAACUCAAAGGAAUUGACGGGGGCCCGCACAAGCGGUGGAGCAUGUGGUUUAAUUCGACGCAACGCGAAGAACCUUACCUAGGCUUGACAUGUAUCGAAGGUUUUGGAAACAGAAUUGUGCCCGCAAGGGAGCGAUAACACAGGUGC
rnacentral:rRNA from 1 species